UUAAGCGACUAAGCGUACACGGUGGAUGCCCUGGCAGUCAGAGGCGAUGAAGGACGUGCUAAUCUGCGAUAAGCGUCGGUAAGGUGAUAUGAACCGUUAUAACCGGCGAUUUCCGAAUGGGGAAACCCAGUGUGAUUCGUCACACUAUCAUUAACUGAAUCCAUAGGUUAAUGAGGCGAACCGGGGGAACUGAAACAUCUAAGUACCCCGAGGAAAAGAAAUCAACCGAGAUUCCCCCAGUAGCGGCGAGCGAACGGGGAGCAGCCCAGAGCCUGAAUCAGUGUGUGUGUUAGUGGAAGCGUCUGGAAAGGCGCGCGAUACAGGGUGACAGCCCCGUACACAAAAAUGCACAUGCUGUGAGCUCGAUGAGUAGGGCGGGACACGUGGUAUCCUGUCUGAAUAUGGGGGGACCAUCCUCCAAGGCUAAAUACUCCUGACUGACCGAUAGUGAACCAGUACCGUGAGGGAAAGGCGAAAAGAACCCCGGCGAGGGGAGUGAAAAAGAACCUGAAACCGUGUACGUACAAGCAGUGGGAGCACAGAGCAAUCUGUGUGACUGCGUACCUUUUGUAUAAUGGGUCAGCGACUUAUAUUCUGUAGCAAGGUUAACCGAAUAGGGGAGCCGAAGGGAAACCGAGUCUUAACUGGGCGUUAAGUUGCAGGGUAUAGACCCGAAACCCGGUGAUCUAGCCAUGGGCAGGUUGAAGGUUGGGUAACACUAACUGGAGGACCGAACCGACUAAUGUUGAAAAAUUAGCGGAUGACUUGUGGCUGGGGGUGAAAGGCCAAUCAAACCGGGAGAUAGCUGGUUCUCCCCGAAAGCUAUUUAGGUAGCGCCUCGUGAAUUCAUCUCCGGGGGUAGAGCACUGUUUCGGCAAGGGGGUCAUCCCGACUUACCAACCCGAUGCAAACUGCGAAUACCGGAGAAUGUUAUCACGGGAGACACACGGCGGGUGCUAACGUCCGUCGUGAAGAGGGAAACAACCCAGACCGCCAGCUAAGGUCCCAAAGUCAUGGUUAAGUGGGAAACGAUGUGGGAAGGCCCAGACAGCCAGGAUGUUGGCUUAGAAGCAGCCAUCAUUUAAAGAAAGCGUAAUAGCUCACUGGUCGAGUCGGCCUGCGCGGAAGAUGUAACGGCUAAACCAUGCACCGAAGCUGCGGCAGCGACGCUUAUGCGUUGUUGGGUAGGGGAGCGUUCUGUAAGCCUGCGAAGGUGUGCUGUGAGGCAUGCUGGAGGUAUCAGAAGUGCGAAUGCUGACAUAAGUAACGAUAAAGCGGGUGAAAAGCCCGCUCGCCGGAAGACCAAGGGUUCCUGUCCAACGUUAAUCGGGGCAGGGUGAGUCGACCCCUAAGGCGAGGCCGAAAGGCGUAGUCGAUGGGAAACAGGUUAAUAUUCCUGUACUUGGUGUUACUGCGAAGGGGGGACGGAGAAGGCUAUGUUGGCCGGGCGACGGUUGUCCCGGUUUAAGCGUGUAGGCUGGUUUUCCAGGCAAAUCCGGAAAAUCAAGGCUGAGGCGUGAUGACGAGGCACUACGGUGCUGAAGCAACAAAUGCCCUGCUUCCAGGAAAAGCCUCUAAGCAUCAGGUAACAUCAAAUCGUACCCCAAACCGACACAGGUGGUCAGGUAGAGAAUACCAAGGCGCUUGAGAGAACUCGGGUGAAGGAACUAGGCAAAAUGGUGCCGUAACUUCGGGAGAAGGCACGCUGAUAUGUAGGUGAAGUCCCUCGCGGAUGGAGCUGAAAUCAGUCGAAGAUACCAGCUGGCUGCAACUGUUUAUUAAAAACACAGCACUGUGCAAACACGAAAGUGGACGUAUACGGUGUGACGCCUGCCCGGUGCCGGAAGGUUAAUUGAUGGGGUCAGCGCAAGCGAAGCUCUUGAUCGAAGCCCCGGUAAACGGCGGCCGUAACUAUAACGGUCCUAAGGUAGCGAAAUUCCUUGUCGGGUAAGUUCCGACCUGCACGAAUGGCGUAAUGAUGGCCAGGCUGUCUCCACCCGAGACUCAGUGAAAUU
rnacentral:rRNA from 1 species